UACGGGGGGGAGCAAGCGUUGUUCGGAUUUACUGGGCGUAAAGGGCGCGUAGGCGGCGUGACAAGUCACUUGUGAAAUCUCCGGGCUUAACUCGGAACGGUCAAGUGAUACUGUCGUGCUAGAGUACAGAAGGGGCAACUGGAAUUCUCGGUGUAGCGGUGAAAUGCGUAGAUAUCGGGAAGAACACCCGUGGCGAAGGCGGUUCUCUGGGACGGUACUGACGCUGAGACGCGAAAGCGUGGGGAGCGAACAGG
rnacentral:rRNA from 1 species